rnacentral:rRNA from 1 species
UACGUAGGUGGCAAGCGUUGUCCGGAAUCACUGGGCGUAAAGAGCUCGUAGGCGGCUUGUCGCGUCGGAUGUGAAAGCCCGGGGGCUCAACCUCGGAAUUGCCUUCGAUACUGGAUGUCUUGAGUGUGAGAGAGGUGUGUGGAACUCCGAGUGUAGAGGUGAAAUUCGUAGAUAUUCGGAAGAACACCAGUGGCGAAGGCGACACACUGGCUCACUACUGACGCUGAGGCGCGAAAGCGUGGGGAGCAAACAGG